GACGAACGCUGGCGGCGCGCUUAACACAUGCAAGUCGAACGGAAAGGCCUGCUUUCCCUUGUGGAUUGCGGGUACUCGAGUGGCGAACGGGUGAGUAACACGUGAGUGAUCUGCCCCCAACUUGGGUAUAAGCCUGGGAAACUGGGUCUAAUUCCCGAUAGGACUGCAGGGUGGUGCCUGUGGUGGAAAACAAUUUUCUAGUGGUUGGGGAUGAGCUCGCGGCCUAUCAGCUUGUUGGUGGGGUAAUGGCCUACCAAGGCGGCGACGGGUAGCCGGCCUGAGAGGGUGGACGGCCACAUUGGGACUGAGAUACGGCCCAGACUCCUACGGGAGGCAGCAGUGGGGAAUAGUGCACAAUGGGCGGAAGCCUGAUGCAGCGACGCCGCGUGGGGGAUGACGGCCUUCGGGUGGUAAACUCCUUUCGACCGCGAGGAAGCCACCUGGUUGGAAGGGUGGUGACGGUAGUGGUAGAAGAAGCACCGGCUAACUACGUG
rnacentral:rRNA from 1 species